CACGUAGGAGGCGAGCGUUGUCCGGAAUCAUUGGGCGUAAAGAGCGCGCAGGCGGCUUGGCAAGUCGGGUGUGAAAUCCCGGGGCUCAACCCCGGGACUGCAUUCGAUACUGUCAGGCUAGAGGUAGGUAGGGGAGAUCGGAAUUCCUGGUGUAGCGGUGAAAUGCGCAGAUAUCAGGAGGAACACCGGUGGCGAAGGCGGGUCUCUGGGCCGAAACUGACACUGAGGAGCGAAAGCGUGGGGAGCGAACAGG
rnacentral:rRNA from 1 species